UACCAACUCAGCAACCUUGGUAUGCCUAAUAUUUGAACUAAUUCCUUGUCAUUUCUAUUGGAAUUGCCUUCCUAAUAUUUGCCAAGUUUUAGAUUGUAUUUUAAAAAUUAUUUGCGAGUUGGGAAUGUAUAUUGGUUUAACAGUUGGCGAACCACAGAUUGAGUCAAGUGUCGGUGUUGGGAGUCUGAUAUGCUGGAUGAGGACUGUUGACUAAUGUAACUAAAUGAACUGAAAAUAUAUGCAUAGAGCAAACAAAAUGUGAGCAUUAACAAGGUCAUGGCAAACUAACUAAAUAUACAGAAACAGAGUGAAAAAUGAUAAAUUGACAAUGGUAAACCAGUUGUGGAAUUGAUAAAUUAUGAUUCCUGGGUACAACAACUUGCUUCAUAGUGUGUGCUUAGAUGGUUUCACGUAUAAUCAAUGCUUUCAUGAAAUAUUGCUGAAAGCAAAGUAUUUUACCUUGGAUUAAUCAAAUCAGAGAGUUGUCAAGUGCAUUCUGUGUUUAGGAAAAUUGUUAGGUCUCCUAUAAAGAAAACUGGUUGGUUCUGUUAAGAAAUGGACACAAUAUAGAAUUGUCUGAAAUUGUUUCAGACUUCUUAAAGGUAUGGUCAAAUAUUUUACCACUUGUCUGAAAUGGACAUGUGAAGCGUUGACAUACGGAGGGUCCAGUUAGGCAAGUAGAGCAC
rnacentral:misc_RNA from 1 species